UGAAAUAUGUCCUUGGAACAGGACGUCACAGAGGGUGAGAAUCCGUGCGAUGAGGAUUGGCUGCUAUGUAAGGCGCUUCGAAGAGUCGAGUGUGGGAAUGCAGCUCUAAGUGGGUGGUAAAUCCAUCUAAAGCUAAAUAUUGGCGAGAGACCGAUAGCGAAGCAAGUACAGUGAUGGAAAGAUGAAAAGAACUUUGAAAAGAGAGUGAAACAGUACGUGAAAUUGUUGAAAGGGAAGGGCUUGAGAUUAGACUUGGUUUUGCUCAAUCAUUUCUCCUUGUGGGAGGUGCUCUUGGCUUUACCGGGCCAGCAUCGGUUUUGAUGGCGGGAUAAGAACGUUUGAAUGUGGCCCCCUCGGGGUGUUAUAGCUUUCGUUGAUACCGCCUAUUGGGACCGAGGGACUGCGUCUUUGACAAG
rnacentral:rRNA from 2 species